GGGUGGUGUCACUUUUACCGUUCUUGAGUAAUGACUCUUUAUAACGUCGCAAGCUGGGGAAUUAUCUGUGUCAAAUGGAAACGUUCCCCGUUUAUUUGGUUAGAUUCAGUAGUUCACAGAAGAUCUGAGUAAAAUUAUAAAUUGAAGAUAUCUACAUUUAUUUGGCAAGGUGGUUAAAGCUCAGUUAGACAGGUUAAUAGCUG
rnacentral:lncRNA from 1 species